GUGAAUCAUCAAAUCUUUGAACGCAAAUUGCACUCUCUGGUAUUCCGGAGAGUAUGCCUGUUUGAGGGUCAGUUUAAAUAAAAAUCGGUUUGGUUGCUGCCUUUCGUGGUGACGCACCGGGUUUGGGUCUUCUUCCCUUCGGUUAGGUGACCUGAAAUAUUGCAUGAUUUUUUCGAACGUUUUUAAAUGAUUUUACG
rnacentral:misc_RNA from 1 species